UGGGGAAUAUUGCACAAUGGGGGAAACCCUGAUGCAGCGACGCCGCGUGAGUGAAGAAGUAUUUCGGUAUGUAAAGCUCUAUCAGCAGGGAAGAUAAUGACGGUACCUGACUAAGAAGCCCCGGCUAACUACGUGCCAGCAGCCGCGGUAAUACGUAGGGGGCAAGCGUUAUCCGGAUUUACUGGGUGUAAAGGGAGCGUAGGUGGCAAGGCAAGUCAGAUGUGAAAGCCCGGGGCUCAACCCCGGUAUUGCAUUUGAAACUGUCUAGCUAGAGUGCAGGAGAGGUAAGCGGAAUUCCUAGUGUAGCGGUGAAAUGCGUAGAUAUUAGGAGGAACACCAGUGGCGAAGGCGGCUUGCUGGACGACAACUGACGCUGAGGCUCGAAAGCGUGGGGAGCAAACAGGAUUAGAUACCCUGGUAGU
rnacentral:rRNA from 1 species